UACGUAGGGUCCGAGCGUUGUCCGGAAUUAUUGGGCGUAAAGGGCUCGUAGGCGGUUUGUCGCGUCGGGAGUGAAAACACGGGGCUUAACCCCGUGCCUGCUUCCGAUACGGGCAGACUAGAGGUAUGCAGGGGAGAACGGAAUUCCUGGUGUAGCGGUGAAAUGCGCAGAUAUCAGGAGGAACACCGGUGGCGAAGGCGGGUCUCUGGGCCGUAACUGACGCUGAGGAGCGAAAGCGUGGGGAGCGAACAGG
rnacentral:rRNA from 1 species